AGGUGGGUAGCUGGGUCAAAUGGUGGUUCUAUUCCAAGAUUUUGAAGUAAUCUCCACACUGCUUUUCAUAUUGGCUGCACCAAUUUGCAGUCCCACCAGCAAU
rnacentral:pre_miRNA from 1 species